UUCCAGACUCCUACGGGAGGCAGCAGUGAGGAAUAUUGGUCAAUGGGCUUACGCCUGAACCAGCCAAGUCGCGUGAGGGAAGACUGCCCUAUGGGUUGUAAACCUCUUUUGUCAGGGAGCAACGCCGGCUACGUGUAGCCGGACUGAGAGUACCUGAAGAAAAAGCAUCGGCUAACUCCGUGCCAGCAGCCGCGGUAAUACGGAGGAUGCGAGCGUUAUCCGGAUUUAUUGGGUUUAAAGGGUGCGUAGGCGGUCCGUUAAGUCAGCGGUAAAAUUGCGGGGCUCAACCCCGUCGAGCCGUUGAAACUGGCAGGCUUGAGUUGGCGAGAAGUACGCGGAAUGCGCGGUGUAGCGGUGAAAUGCAUAGAUAUCGCGCAGAACUCCGAUUGCGAAGGCAGCGUACCGGCGCCAGACUGACGCUGAGGCACGAAAGCGUGGGGAUCGAACAGGAUUAGAUACCCGGGUACC
rnacentral:rRNA from 1 species